rnacentral:rRNA from 1 species
UACGUAGGCAGCAAGCGUUGUUCGGAAUUACUGGGCGUAAAGAGUGUGUAGGCGGUGUCGUAAGUUUGGUGUGAAAUCUCCCGGCUUAACUGGGAGGGUGCGCCGAAGACUGCGAUGCUGGAGUAUGGGAGAGGAAAGCGGAAUUCCUGGUGUAGCGGUGAAAUGCGUAGAUAUGCGGAGGAACACCGAUGGCGAAGGCAAUCCCCUGGGCCUGCACUGACGCUCAUGCACGAAAGCGUGGGGAGCAAACGGG